rnacentral:rRNA from 1 species
UGUGUCCUACGGGGGGCAGCAGUGGGGGAUAUUGCACAAUGGGGGGAACCCUGACGCAGCGACGCCGCGUGAGCGAUGAAGUAGUUCGGUAUGUAAAUCUCUAUCAGCAGGGAAGAAAAUGACGGUACCUGACUAAGAAGCCCCGGCUAACUACGUGCCAGCAGCCGCGGUAAUACGUAGGGGGCAAGCGUUAUCCGGAUUUACUGGGUGUAAAGGGAGCGUAGACGGCUGUGCAAGUCUGAAGUGAAAGGCAAGGGCCCAACCUUUGGACUGCUUUGGAAACUGUGCAGCUAGAGUGUCGGAGG